CCUACGUUUCCUUUCUCUCUACUCCUUUGCUGCGUCCCCUUCUUUGGAUUCAUAUGUUCAAGCUUUCUGGUUGUCUAUGGCUUUUUGAUUCCUCUCAGUAACUGCUCAUUGAUACCUCUACUACACUGCAUUGAAUCGGCCUAAUCAAUUCCCAGAGAAAUCGUCGGAAGCUCUCACUAUAAAAUCCCCUCUUUCAGUCCUGGACAGCACAGACUAGACGAAAUCGAAACAAAUACUCUGUUCUGCUUGCCAACUUCUGCGAUGGAGAACUCCUUCAUCCACCUUUCCGAUGAGGUUUUGUGAGGCUGAAGCCUCCACCUCCUCAGAUGAAUUUCAUGACAAAUUUCAGAGAGAUGAUAAUCUUCAGAAAAGCAAACCUAGCUUCUGGGCCCAAUGGCGAGCUCCAACAACAAGGUUUCACAAGCAAAUGAUUUUGAAGAUAUCAGUAGAUUAUUAAAGCACUUGACAUCUUGAAGGACGACCCUACUCUGGAAAAUCAACUUGCUUCUGGCUCUCGCAGAUAAAGUUUAAGGCCGGCUGUUUAUGAACUCAAAAUCUGGAACACAUAUUUUCUUUGACACUGAGACAGCUGUAGGAAGAGAGAAAUUUGACAAGUAAGUACUACUCAUUUUAAACACCAUUUCGUCAACUUAGAUUGUAUUGGCAUCUGAUUUCCUCUUUCUUUGACUGUCUUCUCCCACUUAACCCCUACCCGACUGAGCUGAUGGCACAGAGCAGACGGCAGCGUCGUCAAAGGUAGUUCAUGCCAAGAAAAUUGAGCCACUCACCAUCUCUGAGCUUAAUGAAUAUGUGAUCACGACUGCCGAGCCUCAGGUGACAGGUUCACUUAGUAAAUUGAAAUCCUUUGGAAGUUACACUACUCAUUCUACAUGUUCUUUGACGUUCCACAGAUAGUAGAGCUUCUCUGCAUUCAAACUCAAGCUAACCGAGUUUAAAGGACAUUAAGGCGUUCUCAGAAGCAAUAGAUUUGGUUAGAGACAAAGGUGUUGCUGUGGUUGUGGCGUCCGCUGAAGACACUGAUGCGGCGAACGGUGCACGUCCCAACUUUUUCGAGGUUAAGAAAGCCCUCUAAGUUGAUAACUUUUACUGUAAUAAGAUUAAGAAUAUCUUUUGGAUUUGUUCUCUGCUGCGAGGGAGUAUCUUGGCAAAGCUAAAUAGUAUAAUAUUUGCCCAACCGAAUGGCCCUUUUCACAAUAAAUGAAGCAUUUUGAUCAA